UCAAUAGACAGGCAGGGAAGCUUAGCAGG
rnacentral:piRNA from 2 species